AACACCAUCCUGAAGUGAGGACUUAACUUAGUUUAGAAAUGAUGGGAUCAGUUAGCCGAUUUUAUAAGAAAAAUAAGCCAAGAUCUAAUCAUUUAUAUUUCAACAGCAAAACAACUGCCUAGUAAAAAUGAAUUAAUGUCCCAGUCUCUAGUGCACAGGGUGUUUUGUGGCAAAGGAGAAUGUAAUAUGGAAUAGCUAAAGCAAAUAACUAAUUAAUGCAACAGCAGGUUCUUUUUAAUCACUUGAAAAAGACAUCAUUUCUCCGAGAAGAAUGUCAAAAGAUCAGCCCAGCUCAGGGUGCAGUUUGCACUACUAGUUCCUUGGACUGCCUUAAGAAGAGUCUCUGGCUCUUUAGAAUACUGACAUUCUGAGCAUGUGAAACCUGAGGACUGCUAACAGCUAUAAAAGGCUCCAAAUUUACCAUAUCUUUCCUUUUGAGAAUCUGAAUAAGCUCCAGCUAAUUUUGGUGGAUGGCUUGUACCUAGAGAAAAAGAUCUUCCUCAGAGGAAUAGGCUUGUUGCUUUACAGUGUUAGUGACCCAUUCCCUUUGACGAUCCCUAGGUGGAGAUGGGGCAUGAGGAUCCUCCAGGGGAAAAGCUCACUACCACUGGGCAACAACCCUAGGCCAGGAGGUUCACCACAAAUACUUUCCUGGGCCCUGAUAGGAAGAUGAACGUCUCAAAGACAACUAUCACACGUGAAGGAGAAUGUGGAAAACUGCCAUAUAAGUGACAUUGAUAUUGUAGAGAAAUCAUUCUGCUGUUCCAUCUCAUCCUCAAAGGCUCCCUUUAGGCUCUAUAGGAGAAGUUUGUCAAUCACUGAUAUACAAGAUGCCUUGGGAUGUCCAUAGGAUAUAACAUACAUUAAGCUGUUUGGAAAGAUAAAUAAGAAUUUUAUCCUCUUAUGCUGUGCUUGCUGAUUGAUGGAUGCCUCAUAACCACAAAUGGAAACCUGACAAAAAAUGGCACAGUUAUCUGUCAUUAGGCAGGAUCUAAAGAACCAGGAUGGUUCUCUAGCUCUUGAUUUUUUUCUCUUCCUAUUUUCCAAAUCAUCCUUCCCAAAAGAAAGGAGAGACUUGGGUCUGCAGCAGGAGUGAGAAAUUUGAACACAUCAAAGGAAGCCAUCCUUCCCACCUGAAGAUGAACAUGCCUGGCACUCUAGCUCUUUAGACUGGCAGAAUGAAUGUGUAUUUCUUUGCUUGUCUCUUUCCUCCUUCAGUGUCUUUGCUCUUCUUCUCUAUCUAAAGUGUGUCUUACUCAUUUCCAUGUUUCUCACUAAUUUCUUCUAGGUGGUGCCUUUGCCUCAUUUUCUUUGUUCUCAAAAGUGGGCUGUGCCUUGGCUUAGAUGUGUCUCACUUUUUCAUUUUGUUGCUGUUUCUCUUUGCUCUCUUAGAUCUCACUCUUUUUUCAAUCUUUGUUCUUUUUGUGUCUUCUCUUUGGGUCACAUGCUUUGUGCUUUUUCUUAUUUUCUUGUUCUGCCUUCCUCUUUUCUCAU